rnacentral:rRNA from 1 species
AUUGCCCUAGUAACGGCGAGUGAAGCGGCAACAGCUCAAAUUUGAAAUCUGGCCUUCGGGUCCGAAUUGUAAUUUGUAGAGGAUGCUUUGGGUGCGGUACCUUCCGAGUUCCUGGAACGGGACGCCGGAGAGGUGAGAGCCCCGUACGGUUGGAUACCAAGCCUAUGUAUAGCUCCUUCGACGAGUCGAGUAGUUUGGGAAUGCUGCUCUAAAUGGGAGGUAAAUUUCUUCUAAAGCUAAAUACCGGCCAGAGACCGAUAGCGCACAAGUAGAGUGAUCGAAAGAUGAAAAGCACUUUGAAAAGAGGGUUAAAUAGCACGUGAAAUUGUUGAAAGGGAAGCGUUUGCGACCAGACCUUUUCAGGCGGAUCAUCCGGUGUUCUCACCGGUGCACUUCGCCUGGUUUAGGCCAGCAUCGGUUUUCUUAGGGGAUAAAGGUUUAGGGCACGUAGCUCCUUCGGGAGUGUUAUAGCCCUCUACGUAAUACCCUUCGGGGACCGAGGACCGCGCAUUGCAAGGAUGCUGGCGUAAUGGUCGUCAACGACCCGUCUUGAAACACGGACCAAGGAGUCGAACAUUUGUGCGAGUGUUUGGGUGUUAAACCCCACGCGUAAUGAAAGUGAACGGAGGUGAGAGCCCUUCGGGGUGCAUCAUCGACCGAUCCUGAUGUCUUCGGAUGGAUUUGAGUAAGAGCAUAACUGUUCGGACCCGAAAGAUGGUGAACUAUGCGUGGAUAGGGUGAAGCCAGAGGAAACUCUGGUGGAGGCUCGCAGCGGUUCUGACGUGCAAAUCGAUCGUCAAAUCUGCGCAUGGGGGCGAAAGACUUAUCGAACCAUCUAGUAGCUGGUUACCGCCGAAGUUUCCCUCAGGAUAGCAGUGUUGUCUUCAGUUUUAUGAGGUAAAGCGAAUGAUUAGGGACUCGGGGCGCUAUAUUGCCUUCAUCCAUUCUCAAACUUUAAAUAUGUAAGAAGCCCUUGUUACUUAGUUGAACGUGGGCAUUCAGAAUGUACCAACACUAGUGGGCCAUUUUUGGUAAGCAGAACUGGCGAUGCGGGAUGAACCGAACGUGGGGUUAAGGUGCCAGAGUGGACGCUCAUCAGACACCACAAAAGGUGUUAGUACAUCUUGACAGCAGGACGGUGGCCAUGGAAGUCGGAAUCCGCUAAGGACUGUGUAACAACUCACCUGCCGAAUGUACUAGCCCUGAAAAUGGAUGGCGCUCAAGCGUCUCACCCAUACCUCACCCUUAGGGUAGAAACGAUGCCCUAAGGAGUAGGCGGCCGUGGAGGUUAGUGACGAAGCCU